ensembl:Y_RNA Y_RNA Y RNA
GGCUGGUCUGAGUGCAGUGGUGUUUACAACUAAUUGAUCACAACCAGUUACAGACUUCUUUGUUCCUUCUCCACUCCCACUGCUUCACUUGACUAGCCUUUA